rnacentral:misc_RNA from 1 species
UUUUUAUCACCCACCGAAACAUGCAUAAGAGAGUGCAUAAGUUAUGCACACCCAUUUUUCCCUUAUGUAGCCUUAACACAUGUCCUGUUCAAAUCAAAAUUUGUUUUCGGCACCCAUUUUCCCACCUCCACCUCCCAAUAUUCCUGUUCACUCCUUUUUCCCCCCACGUCCAUUUAUUCCGGCAUUACCUCUCCUCUUCUUCUCCACUCCUAUUUUGGCUGCAUUUGCCCUAACUUUUCUCUGCAUCUUUCACUUUGUGCAUAUUUGUCCAUACUCUGUAUAUUUGCAUGCUUCUACUGGUGGUUGCACAUUUUCCCUUGCUCAUCAUCAUGCAGCAGCUUUUGAAUAUACUGCAUAGGCUAUGAAUACCCUUAUGCAAAUAUUUUGCAUAGCCUGUGUAGUCCUCUAUGCCACUCAUGCAGAACUGCAUAGGCUAUGAAUACCCUUAUGCAAAUAUUUUGCAUAGCCUGUGUAGUCCUCUAUGCCACUCAUGCAGAACUGCAUAGGCUAUGAAUACCCUUAUGCAAAUGUUCUGCAUAGCCUGUGCAGUCCUUAUUGCCACUCAUGCAGAACCGCACAGCUUAUGCACCUUCCUUAUGCACCUGUUCUGGACAGCACUUUACUCUGCAUAACCUGUGCAGCUUCUUAUGCAUCCCCAUUAUAUCUUGAAUUCUCAUCUGCUCUAUACCAGGUAACUCUUUCCUUUUGCUCUUAAAUUUCACAAUUCCUGGUAAUUUCUCUUUGCUUUAAGUUUUGAUAAUGCAUUGCUUGAGACAUUGAGGACAAUGUCUAAUUUUGAGUUUGGGGGUGCACAUUUUGAUUUUUGCUUCAUUUUUCACAUUUUGAGUAUAGGAACAUCUCAUCCCAUUUCAUUUACAUAUAUUGUAAAUAUUUUACAUAUACAUCCACACAUACAUAUACAUAACACAUUUACACACACAUUAUACAUCACUUAGAAAUUGUACACAUUGCACACAAAUAGACAAAUAGAUUCACAUUCACUCCAUUUAGUUAAUGCAUUGCUCAUUUUUAGGAAUCAUGCAUCAUGCAUUAAAAUCUUUUGCCAAAUCCCUUGAGUAUUGAAAAGUUGCCUAUGAGAGUGAUUUGACUCACCCUUUAGUUGGGUUUGUGGAUUGAAAGUUUCCUAAGAGGUGCAAGGUUUUGAAGUGUCUAUCCCUUGCCUAUAUCUUCUUAGCCAAAAAGCCACCCAACUAGUCAUUUGGAGAUGGAAGUGUUUAGAGGGAGUUAUUGGAUAUAAGGUAGUCAAAUGAUGUCUCACCAAUCCUAGAACAAAUUUUCUAAACCUUUCAAGGCGAAAUACCAGCUUGUACUUGAAAAGAGAGAUGAUUAGGCAUUCUUUGAUUUAAACCUUCUCAUUUUAAACCUUUGGCCCUUUUCCUAAUUAAAAUUGACCCUUGCAAACCCCUUUGAGCCUUUUUGUCCCUAAUUUUUCUUGAAACCCUUAUUGCUACCUAGCCAAUGAACCAAACACUCCAACCCUUUUCAUGAGAAUAAUUAUUUAUAACAUUAGGUACAUAAAAAAAAAAAUUUACAAUAAAAGGGAGAAGAAAUGC